rnacentral:rRNA from 1 species
AGAGUUUGAUCAUGGACUCAGGAUGAACGCUGGCGGCGUGCUUAACACAGUGCAAGUCGAACGGAGUAAUAUGAAGUCUUCGGACAGAUAUUACUAGUGGCGGACGGGUGAGUAACGCGUGGGUAACCUACCUCAUACAGGGGGAUAACAGUUGGAAACGACUGCUAACGCCGCAUAACAAGUUGGGACCGCAUGAUCCCUAACUUCAAAAUAUUUAUAGGUAUGAGAUGGGCCCGCGUCUGAUUAGCUAGUUGGUGGGGUAAUGGCCUACCAAGGCGACGAUCAGUAGCCGGCUUGAGAGAGUGACCGGCCACAUUGGGACUGAGACACGGCCCAAACUCCUACGGGAGGCAGCAGUGGGGAAUAUUGGACAAUGGGGGCAACCCUGAUCCAAGCGACGCCGCGUGAGUGAAGAAGUAUUUCGGUAUGUAAAGCUCUAUCAGCAGGGAAGAUAAUGACAGUACCUGACUAAGAAGCCCCGGCUAACUACGUGCCAGCCGCAGC